rnacentral:rRNA from 1 species
GACGAACGCUGGCGGCGUGCUUAACACAUGCAAGUCGAACGGAAAGGCCCUUCUUUUGUGGGGUGCUCGAGUGGCGAACGGGUGAGUAACACGUGAGUAACCUGCCCUUGACUUUGGGAUAACUUCAGGAAACUGGGGUUAAUACCGUAUAGGAGCUCCUGCUGCAUGGUGGGGGUUGGUAAGUUUCGGCGGUUGGGGAUGGACUCGCGGCUUAUCAGCUUGUUGGUGGGGUAGUGGCUUAACAAGGCUUUGACGGGUAGCCGGCCUGAGAGGGUGACCGGCCACAUUGGGACUGAGAUACGGCCCAGACUCCGACGGGAGGCAGCAGUGGGGGAUAUUGCACAAUGGGCGGAAGCCUGAUGCAGCAACGCCGCGUGCGGGAUGACGGCCUUCGGGUUGUAAACCGCUUUCGCCUGGGACGAAGCGUGAGUGACGGUAAUGGGUUAAGAAGCACCGGCUAACUACGUG